GACGAACGCUGGCGGCGUGCUUAACACAUGCAAGUCGAACGGAAAGGCCCUGCUUUUGUGGGGUGCUCGAGUGGCGAACGGGUGAGUAACACGUGAGUAACCUGCCCUUGACUUUGGGAUAACUUCAGGAAACUGGGGCUAAUACCGGAUAGGAGCUCCUGCUGCAUGGUGGGGGUUGGAAAGUUUCGGCGGUUGGGGAUGGACUCGCGGCUUAUCAGCUUGUUGGUGGGGUAGUGGCUUACCAAGGCUUUGACGGGUAGCCGGCCUGAGAGGGUGACCGGCCACAUUGGGACUGAGAUACGGCCCAGACUCCUACGGGAGGCAGCAGUGGGGAAUAUUGCACAAUGGGCGGAAGCCUGAUGCGGCAACGCCGCGUGCGGGAUGACGGCCUUCGGGUUGUAAACCGCUUUCGCCUGUGACGAAGCAUGAGUGACGGUAAUGGGUAAAGAAGCACCGGCUAACUACGUG
rnacentral:rRNA from 1 species